GGUGAGUUUUGCCGCAGGACACCUCUGUGGGGCCAGGGGAAGUGCCGGCCCAAGCUCCGAGGCCCACCUGGCGCAGUGCAGUGAUGCCCCUCCUUGCCCCCGCCGCAGCCACGGUGUUCCUGGAGAUCUGGAAGCGGCAGCGCGCCCGCGUGGUCCUGCACUGGGACCUGUACGUGUGGGACGAGGAACAGGAGGAAAUGGCACUUCAGCUCAUUAACUGCCCCGACUACAAGCUCCGGCCAUACCAGCACUCCUACCUACGCAGCACCAUCAUCCUCGUCCUGACCCUGCUCAUGAUCUGCCUCAUGAUCGGCAUGGCCCACAUCCUGGUGGUCUACCGCGUCCUGGCCUCCGAGCUCUUCAGCAGCUCGGCCGUGCCCUUCCUGGAGGAGCAGGUGACCACGGCAGUGGUGGUGACCGGAGCCCUGGUGCACUAUGUGACCAUCGUCAUCAUGACCAAGGUGGGGCCGGGAGCGGGGCAGGCCCAAGCUGGGGGGUCCACCGGAGCCCCAGUGAGCACAUUCGGUGCCCUCCUCCGCAGAUCAACAGGCGCGUGGCCCUGAAGCUUUGUGACUUCGAGAUGCCCAGGACCUUCUCGGAGCGAGAGAGCAGGUUCACCAUCCGCUUCUUCACGCUGCAGUUCUUCACCCAUUUCUCGUCUCUCAUCUACAUCGCCUUCAUCCUGGGCAGGAUCAACGGCCACCCCGGGAAGUCCACGCGCCUGGCGGGCUUGUGGAAGCUGGAAGAGUGCCACGCCAGCGGCUGCAUGAUGGACCUCUUCGUGCAGAUGGCCAUCAUCAUGGGCCUGAAGCAGACGCUCAGCAACUGUGUCGAGUACCUGGUCCCGUGGGUGACCCACAAGUGCCGCUCUCUGCGGGCCUCCGAAUCCGGGCACCUGCCCCGGGACCCCGAGCUCAGGGACUGGCGGCGCAACUACCUUCUGAACCCUGUCAACACCUUCAGCCUGUUCGACGAGUUCAUGGAGAUGAUGAUCCAGUACGGCUUCACCACCAUCUUCGUGGCCGCCUUCCCGCUGGCGCCGCUGCUCGCGCUCUUCAGCAACCUCGUGGAGAUCCGCCUGGACGCCAUCAAGAUGGUCUGGCUGCAGCGGCGCCUGGUGCCGCGCAAGGCCAAGGACAUCGGUCAGGCCCGGCGGGCGCAGGAGGGGCGGGAACCGGGCGGCCUCAGGCCUGUGGGCUUCCCGCUGGCCAGGCCGGCUCACCUGGAAAGAAUAAUCUCUCCGAUCUCACGCCGCGGACAGUCCCCAGCCCUUCUCCGACGGCCUCGGAUGCGGGUUGAGCCUGGGUGGGAGGGUCCCAGGAGUGGGCGGGGCCGGGCGCUUUGUAGGCUCCUCCCACAAACCGUCAGGCUCUUAGAGGGGCUUGACGCCCCCAAGGCGGAGCCAGGUUCUGCCAGUGGCUGGGGCAGGAACAGAGCAGCCGGCCUCUGUCCCAAGACUGGCCACGCUGAGACGGACAGGCAGCAGGGGAGCGACGGGGGCUGUGGCGCUGGAUGUGGGGAAAGGGAGAGUGGUGUUAGGGAGGCCCCCAGUCUAGGGCCCAGGUUACAAGGUCUUACCCUGGGGUGGGAACCCAGGAGGUGGAGUGGCUGGGGGGCAGCUGAGAAGUUCAGGAAGAUGGAGGGAUGAGGAUUCCCAGGUCCCUCCCUGUCCAUGUCAGGGUGAGGGGUGCAGGAGCGCGGAGGCCAUGCUCUGCCAUGGCUGGGGACUUCCUUGUGAAUACUGUAGCCCUAGGGCUGCAAGGGGACACCAUGCACAGAGACAUGGCAGGCCCCAUGUUGGCUGGGGGUGGGGGUGGGGGCAGAACCAGCCGAGGGAGGCUGAGUCAGACCACUUGCCCACUGCUCUGGUGCAGGGACCUGGCUGCAGGUGCUGGAGACCAUCGGUGUGCUGGCGGUCAUUGCCAACGGGAUGGUCAUUGCCUUCACAUCUGAGUUCAUCCCCCGAGUGGUCUACAAGUACCGCUAUAGCCCAUGCCUGAAAGAAGGCAACUCUACCGUCGACUGCCUCAAGGGCUACGUCAACCACAGCCUGUCCGUCUUCCACACCAAGGACUUCCAGGACCCUGAUGGGAUUGAGGCCUCAGAAAACGUGACUCUGUGCAGGUUUGGAACUCCCCAUCCCCCAAGAAUGCCCUCUGAACUCCUGACCCCUGACCUCAGGUACUUCCUUACCCCAGAUACAGGGACUACCGCAAUCCCCCCGAUUACAACCUCUCGGAGCAGUUCUGGUUCCUCCUGGCCAUCCGCCUGGCCUUCGUCAUCCUCUUUGAGCACGUAGCCUUGUGCAUCAAGCUCAUUGCCUCCUGGUUCGUGCCCGACAUCCCUCAGUCGGUGAAGAACAAGGUUCUGGAGGUGAAGUACCAGAGGCUGCGUGAGAAGAUGUGGCAUGGAAGGCAGAGGCUGGGCGGGGUGGGGGCAGGCUCUCGGCCCCCGAUGCCUGCCCAUCCCACCCCAGCCUCCAUCUUCAGUGCCAGGAGCACAGACGUGUAGGGCCAGAGCCCGUCCAGAGGCCACCAGGAGCUGAGACAGUGCCACCACCAGCACCUCCCACAAGCCCACUGCUGUGUGUGUUGAGGGGUGCUGUGAGAAGGCUGUGCUCAUGGGGGGCCGCAGGAGUCCCCUGUAUGUUCAGGGCUGUGAGCUGCCGCCCUAUUCCGCCUGCUCCAUCUUUGUGGGGGCUCUCAGGCUUGGCACAGCCCUGACUUGAACUCUGGGUGACCCCUGGCACCCACAGAACGGGGAGUGAGGACUCCUCAGGCAGCCACAAGGCAGGAAAACUGGCGCAAGUUUCCUGGGCCUCCCUCUGACUUCUGGGCGCCAGAUCCUGCCGUGCCCCCAUCCUGGCUGUUGGGGGUGUCCUGGGCCCACCUCGCUGGCCUGUUCCCUUCGGCCAGCCUCAGUUUCUGUAAUAAAAUUAAACCUGCCUGUCU
rnacentral:sRNA from 1 species